rnacentral:rRNA from 1 species
UGACAACAGUUACUGAACCCUAUCAAACUCCGAAUGCCAUAUACUUGUACCCCGGCAGUCAGACUACGAAUGAUAAGAUCCGUGGUCAAAAGGGAAACAGCCCAGACCAUCAGCUAAGGUCCCAAAGUGUAAGUUAAGGGGGAAAGGAUGUGGGAUUUCUAAGACAACUAGGAUGUUGGCUUAGAAGCAGCCACUCAUUUAAAGAGUGCGUAAUAGCUCACUAGUCGAGAGAUCCUGCGCCGAAGAUGUAACGGGGCUCAAACUUACCACCGAAGCUAUGGAUGUGUACUUUGUACACGUGGUAGAGGAGCUUUCUGUACAGGUUGAAGUCAUACCGUAAGGAGUGGUGGACAGUACAGAAGUGAGAAUGCUGGCAUAAGUAGCGAAAAACAAGUGAGAAUCUUGUUGACCGAAUAUCUAAGGUUUCCUGGGGAAGGCUCGUCCUCCCAGGGUUAGUCGGGACCUAAGCCGAGGCCGAAAGGCGUAGGUGAUGGACAACUGGUUGAUAUUCCAGUACCACCAUAAUGCGUUUGACAAAUGGGAUGACGCAGGAGGAUAGGAUGUGCGCACUAUUGGAUGUGCGUCUAAGCACUUAGGGUGUUAAGUAGGCAAAUCCGCUUAACAUUAAGCCUGAGGUGUGAUGGGGAGCCUAUUUUGGCGAAGUAUCUGAUUCCACGCUGCCAAGAAAAGUCUCUAUGGAGCAAA